CAGUCGCCACGGGAAUACGAAGGGGGCUAGCGUUGCUCGGAAUUACUGGGCGUAAAGGGCGCGUAGGCGGACAGUUCAGUCGGGGGUGAAAGCCCGGGGCUCAACCUCGGAAUUGCCUUCGAUACUGGCUGUCUUGAGUAUGAGAGAGGUGUGUGGAACUCCGAGUGUAGAGGUGAAAUUCGUAGAUAUUCGGAAGAACACCAGUGGCGAAGGCGACACACUGGCUCAUUACUGACGCUGAGGCGCGAAAGCGUGGGGAGCAAACAGGAUUAGAUACCCCUGUAGUCCCUGUCUCUUAUAC
rnacentral:rRNA from 1 species